GUUUGGAUGAUUACUUGUCCUUUUCCCAUAACAAAAACUCUUGAAUUAUCUCCGAACUUUACAUCAUCUUUGAAAGAUUCGUCUAAGGUGGAGAAGAUUUUCCUAUCCCUACACAUAUGAUUCCUGCAAUCAGUGUCCAGGUACCAUAAAUUCUUGUUGGUCUCUUCUCUCGUAUAACAUGCCAUUAGAAGAGAUGUUUCCUCAUCCUUUUCUGCAAAAUUGGAUUUUUCUCCAUUGCCUUUAGACAUGUUAGUUCGACAUUCUGAUUGAUAAUGUCCAUACUUGUGGCAUCUGUAACACUCUAUAUUGGCUUUGUCUACUGACUUUGUUCUAUGGUUGCCAACAUGAAAUAAGCAUUUGCCUUUUCCUUGAGAAUCACCAAAUUGGUUACUAUAUUGCUGGUGCUGAUUUUUACGAUCCUUAUAUCCUUUACCUCUUCCUCUAUUUGCUUUGUUUAAAGGCCAACCAUAACCACCUGUUGACGCCUUCAAUGCUUGUUCAUCUAUAUCCUG
rnacentral:lncRNA from 1 species